rnacentral:rRNA from 1 species
UACGUAGGGUGCAAGCGUUGUCCGGAAUUAUUGGGCGUAAAGAGCUCGUAGGCGGCUUGUCGCGUCGGCUGUGAAAACCUGGGGCUCAACCCCGGGCUUGCAGCCGAUACGGGCAAGCUAGAAUUCGGUAGGGGAGACUGGAAUUCCUGGUGUAGCGGUGAAAUGCGCAGAUAUCAGGAAGAACACCCGUGGCGAAGGCGGCUCUCUGGGACGGUACUGACGCUGAGACGCGAAAGCGUGGGGAGCGAACAGG